rnacentral:lncRNA from 1 species
AGCAUAUGCACAGCAGAGCUGCUCCUGGCACGCAUUAUUUGCAGGCCAUCGACUCCACAGCAGCAGCAAGGGGUGUGUGUGUCAGCCCCGGUCAGCUGGUCGCACUGCUAACUUAGCGUGCCCCUCUCAUAGUGACGCUAAUUUAUUGAAGGCCAGUGUUCAGUUGCUGGCUAUACAGGGGGUUGACAUGAUGUAUCGUGUAUGUGAAGUGUGCAGUGUUAAAGUUCAUCACUCGGAGAACACUUCAAAUGCCUGAGGUCACACCGAACACCAGCACGGAAAGUUUGAAGUAGAAUAAAAGCCAUAACAGCUGACCGACACACACCCCAAGUCACUGAGAGUCACUAAAAGGCUCUAAAAGUACUUUAUUUUUUCAAGUUUAGCUCCAAACCUUUAUUACCAGGUGUUUUGAAAGUAAAUAACACGAUCAUAGCAUGUGCCGUUUGUUAUCUGAAGCGUUCAGUGUUUGAAUUAAAUAUCUAACAUCAAUCUUUACAGUCAGGUAUCCUCAUAUUAGAUAAUAAGUCCUGUAGUUCGAUUGUAUUUGUAAAAUAAAUGAGCGAGCAGAGAUUUUUGGUUGGUAAAGUCUCUGUGCUCCACUGGGACUAGAGUGUUCGGCAGCGUUGUGCGCAUUGCUCCCAGACAAGCGUGCCAGCUCUAAUCUCUCUCUGUCUGGAAGCACUGACCUCUUUUGUUCACUUGAUGGCUUAUUACCGGUAUUGAUUUUGGCUCCUUUAUUUUCACAGACUUCCUGCAGGGCGGUAGAUGACCCAUGCACAUAUCAGCUACUGUUGGCUGCUGUCAACACCAACAAACAUUACAGAUCUGAUCUGCUCAGGGUAAUUCUAUAGAAGUAGAUGUAUAUUUCGUCUUUGGAAACAUCAGACGACAUGAUGAGUACUCCUUUUCGGGAUACGACAUCUCCUGUUUUGGUGCUGGAUCUUAUGUGAUUGCCUUGGAUUUAACUCUGCGCAUGUGUUUGGCUUCCCUCUGGUUGAAUCUAGGCUAAAGUGGACACAGCCUCUCAUACUGUAAGUGCUGAAAAAUAUCAGUGAUACCAAGUCUGGAAAGAAAGAAGUUAAAUGUGUCUGUUGAAGUCAUUUAUAUUGUCUUAAACAAUAUAAAUCCUUGUUUACUUAAACAAGUAAACAAGGAGAAGAGUUUACAGCUGUAAUGUUAUAAGACAACAUUGGAAAGUAUCACUGAGCUGUAGAGUAGUACCUUUGUCCAUUUUUUUUAGGUUCUGGCUGAUAUGUCUGCACAUCUGGUUUAAACCCAGGACAUCCACAGUUCAGGCUCUCUGCUUCACAAAGUUUCUUCCCCCCAAUCACUCUCCCUGCUGGAGGUGUUUGUGUUUUCUUCACCAUGGUUUUUAAAGGCAGGAGUCACAUUCUCCUGGAGAUGGAUGGCAGUUUGAAGCAAACAGAGACAGAUGCUAAUAACAGCUCGGACUGUGGGGGUCAAGUGUACAUACCUUUUUGGAAACAGCAAGAGAAACAUAGUGAAAGCAGACAGCACAUUGUCAUGGUGACAUUUGAGGAUGACAGCUUGUAAAGUUGUAGACUUUUGCAUGCAGUUAUAGAAACAAUACUUGACCGGUGCAGUAGGGUGUAGUUUUGAUGGGAUUUUGGAUAAAACCAACAAUAAUGAGGGAGCCAGGUUUUUUGAAAUGUGUCGAUCCUUGUUUUUUAGAGCUCAGUCAAGUCACCAUGUAACUUCAUGUGUUUAACCAUCAAUUCAAUCCCAGACUGACUGUCAGAAAGCAGAAAAUGUUCAAAACUGAUUUUUUACUUUAGUCAUUUGUCAGCUUAGCAACUCUGAGGAUAGGGGGAGCACUGACUGUGGUGAUUUGCAUAGGCAAACAUGCAAAACCUCUUGCACACCUUGAGCGAUCCCACAUGUCCUACACUUUUGUGGUUUUGCGUUGGUGUUGCAGUCUGGAUAUCAACAGUUAGAGUCAGACUGCUCUGUGGUUGAUUGGGAAAAACCAACUGAAAGCCCUAUACUCUGUUCCAGCACUGUGGUUGCAUUUUUUAAAUGAGGACUGUAAGUGCAGAAAAUGCUGAACUGCCUUUAGUUUGAAUAGAAAAGAGGCUCUGUCAGUGCAAGAAAAACAAACAAAAAAAUCAUCAAACCUUUUAGUGAUUCUAGAUUUUUUCUUUGAUUGUCAUUUUUAGGUCAUACUGAAGUUAGACUUUGGAAAACAAGGAAAACAUUAGACUUACUAAAAGUCCACAGGUUAAUGUUUGCAGUGUGAGCAUGUUGGCAUGUCAACAGUAACAUUAAAGGGAUAUUCCGGCGUAAAAUUAAUUUGGGGUCAAACACCGAGUUAAACACCUCCACGAGACAUGAAUGUUGCCAACUUUAGUAACGACCGUACGAUAGCAAUACACAGCGGUCUGAGGAGCCAUAAACAAACCUCAACCAAAAAGCCACUCUAUAGCCACAAAUAAUGCUCAGAACAGAACCUAACUUCAUCAACAGAACAUAAAGGGUCUUAGCUAUUGUACUUGCCAUAGCCAUUGAAUUUCCCUUCAAGGAUUAACAAAGUUCUUCUUCUUAAACAUCUUUUUAACUUUGCCUAAUUUCUUUUGCAAAGAGACCAAACACAACUCACAUACUCUCUUCCAGUAGCCGCUUGUUUGAAGUGAGACCAGUCCAUUACAGACUGCUGCAGGGUGACGCAGCUCAAAGAAGAACAUUUAUGAUUAACAUUUAUGAUGACUAACUCGGUGUUUGGGUGUGUUUGACCCUAAAUUAAUUUUACGCCGGAAUAUCCCUUUAAGUGGGGUGGAUGAGCUUGAGGCUUUUGAUGAGGGACUCUUCUCCAUUUUGUCAUCAGAAAUAGCUCAUAAAAAUAAGACACAGAACUCUGUCACUGACAUGUCGUCAAUAAAAUGAUGAUGGUGAUUCAUUUUUUUACAACACUCCCCUUUAAACAAAUCAAGUUGUUUGAAUAUAGACUAUAAACUCUUUUUUUUUCAUAUUUCCUUCAUAUAAGAUCCUAUCAUUCUCAGAAGUUUGAGGAGAAUUAAGAUUUUUUUUGCGUCUUUUGCUAAAUAUACAGUUUCCAUGUACUUCAUCACAGUUUUUAAGUGUAGAUCUCUUUCAUGGGGAUUUCAAACCACAAUACAUGUGACUUCAUAGCUGGAAGAAGUUCACUGGUGUGCAGCAGGAGGACUGAAUGCUUUGGUGCUCCUCACAGUCUAUGGCAUGUUCACUCAGCGUGGUUGACUGCUUUUCUUUUCUUUCAACGUCGCUCAAUUUCACCCAGAGAAAUCUUAAAACCGGAACAUCAAUAUUUAUGAUAAUGUGAGAGCGAGCUUAGAUUCUUUUUCUUUGUUUCCAGGUUAAAAAACAACCACUGGUCACUACUUUCUAGAAAGAACGUAAAUACUUUAUGCACCAAAUCAAUAUCAGAUGAAGUUGAUUUACAACUUCGAGGCCACCUGCUAACCAUCCUCCCAUUCCCCCCUAAUUCUUCCCCAUCCUCACCAUUAACCAGUGCUUUAGAUUUAGUUACUGCUGAGAAAUACGAGAUGGUUUAAAAAUCUGGUCCCCCGUAAAUUGACAAACUCUUUUGUUUAAGUUUACCUGUCACAGUCCAGUAAAAGUUAUCCUGACCUUACUCAUACUUCUGACUAUCUGCUGAUAAUUUGUUAGUCUGAGAUUCAGUGAGAUGUCUCUUCAGUCUCCCCUGCAAAGGAAGACAUAAACAAACUGAAAUCACAAGACGGUUUAUAACAAUAACAAUGAGGUGUUUAACAUCAUCAAUAAUGUUCAUAGGAUCCAGGCUGCUUUUGUUUUGUUGGAUAGAAAGUUAGUGGUUUAAGACUUAAACCUUUGUUAAAAAAUAUGUGAAACUUUCUGUGAAGUUGCGAUGGUCUUUUCUGUGAAAUACCUUCAGCUGAUUUGCAUUUGUUGUUUAUUGUGCUUUCUCUGCAUUUUGCAAAACUUGUCCUCAACACUCAUAAAUGACCAAACCUCAUGUUAUACACAGUAGUCAUACCUUUUGUGCUUUUGCCAAAGCUUCCUACCACAUUGUAAACAGAUAGCUUCAUGAGAAAUGAUUGUUAGUUUCUUUUUUUCAUGAAUGUAUUGUACUGACAUUUACUUCUGUGGUUUUUGGAAAUAUUUUAUGUACUAACACAUUAAUCUUAUUUAGUUUCUGCUGAGGAAAUUUUGUAUUCCUGUGGCACUUAGAGUACAUAUUUGGGAAAAGCCUCAACCAGUCAGUAUGUAAAAAUCUACUUGCAUGCAACUAGUGUCCUAGUCCGAACUUUAAAGUAGUUAAAAGGCAAAUUUUCUUGUUUUCUAUUGGAUUGACAUGAAACAAAAGUGUUGUAAACAAUUUUGUAAAUGUAAAAGACCUAACCCUCGAAUACAUUUCGAUUUGAAUAACUUGAUAUAUAUCUUUGUAUAACAAAAGUGAGAGAUUUUUGGAUACUUUUACCACUGUCUGACCCAAGGAAUUAAUACAUAGAGGAUUGGAGCACCAAACUCCCCCACUCACUAACAAAACAAGCCUAGGUAAAAGUUUAAAAUUUUACAAUAUUUCAUGUAAAUCAUAUUCUGGCAGUAGAUUUUAGGUUAAGGGCCUGUGUCCACUGACAGCAUUUUUUGUUGUCUUAUUGUUGUUAAAUAAAAUUGUAACUUUAUUAAUGAAAGUUCACAAAGUAAACAUACUUACACCAUCAAAAACAAACAAACAAACAAAAAAACUAAUGCUGAGGGAGUUUUGCAUUUAGGAUUUCGCCAGUGCAGAAGAUGCUAGUGGACACAGGCCUUUAUUUUAGGUCACAAAAAGUUUAAUUUAGAGCAAAACACCUGAAUCUUUCAAAAUGUUGGAUAAAAAAGCAUCUUUAAUUUCCACGCUUUGUAUUUUCAGGUUCAGACAGAGUUUUUAGAUCCUGUAGCUACACUAAGAAUCUGAAGGAAAUUAUAGGGUUGUAAAAACAUGUCACUGAAUUAUUACAUCUGGACUCCCUACCAGUGUUCCUGCAUCUGUUCGAUAUUACAGUAGGAAGACAGCUGCCAGUAAGUCGUUAUUUUAUAUAUACAUAUAUACAUAUACAUAUAUAAAUUAAUAAAGAGAAAUGGUUUCAAAGCUUAAAUGUGUAAAGCACAAAAAAUAGUGGCUCUAAGACAAGGGAUUAUAGGAUCAGUUUUGGAUAAGACCCGACAGAGAAACAGAUGUGCUUUUAUUGGGAGGCACCUGAAGGUUCGAGUUCAAAAUCCACUUCCUUUCAAGUGCAACAUUUAUAAAAAGUUAUGGGUUUAACCUCUGUAGCUGCAGGGUCGUAAAAUAUUAAUUUACAAGGAAAGCUUUAUAUUAUUGUGCCAAAAUCAGUUAUGCUUGUUUGUAUUAGUGCAGCUUAAAGCUCCUGUGAGAAACUUUCCUUCUGACUAAGUUUUUUGACAAAUGGACAGUGAGAGUGUUUAUUUCUUUAGUAACUGUGGGUGUUUCUGUUUGAGGUUGGCAGUGAUGGUGAUGCCUAAGGUUGUCAGCAUUCCUGCAAAUGAACAGCAAAUGCAAAAUAUCUUAACAAGUUUGUCUUCAAUGAGAAUAAAGAUGUGUCAAAUACAAUUUUAUCCAACUAACAAAACAUCUUAGGACUCUCUUUUAUCUGUCAUAAAAGGAUUGUGAAAAGAUGAUGAUUAGCUGCAGAUACCUCCGUUUGCUCUUUCAAGUGCAGAAAGAAUGGUGUGCUGUGCCUCAUGAGGGCAGCCAUGCUAGUUUAAAAUAUACACAGCAGCGUCUGCAUGAUGGAUUUCCUCUGGUCUGGGUGUACUCCUUAUGCCUGCCAUACAGUAGAGCAGCAGUGCUGAUGGUUAUUGAUAGCCAGCUGGUUCAUCUGUGUAUCAGUCAGCCCUUAGAGAAGAUAAUUCACCCCUUGUCUACUCCCAGUUGAAUGUGGUCCAUUUUUAGACUGUUAGCACUGCCAUAUUUUACCCCUCUAAGAAGAGUUUACUGCUUUGAUUUCACCGAAAGUCAUUAUUCACACAGUCAUUAAUCUACUUUAUUUCUGUGUCUAAAGUCUAGAAACUAGCGUCUGAUCAGAAGUGUUAUUUUCUCUAUAUGUAAGCUUUAUCAUUGAGCGUUUAUUCAUUUAAAUACAUCUUGUAUGGCUAAAAAAAGACCAGGCCCUCACAGUAUGCAACGUCACAGAAGUGAGAACAAUGACUUCAUGCUCCCACACAUUUUCCAUGCGUCCAUUUCCAAGCUGAGACCACAGAGCUCUUGCAGCUGUGUGCAUAAAAGCGCUGAGUAGCUGCUAACUAAGGCCAGGCUGAGUAGCCUCUGUGAAGACCAGCCAUCUCCCGCAGCGGGUAAAUGUCAGUUAGAUGGAAUGAGGCAGGCCUUGAAAGCAGGGAGGCCCUGCAGCUCAGUGGAGUAGCAGCAGUGUUUUAACUUAUCCAGGCUUAUUUUCAGAUUUAUUUCACAGCUCAUGAAGGGCGACUUGUCACACUGACAUGUUUGGAGCACCGACAUAAAGCCGCCAACACUGUAAGAUCAGUGGGGCAUGAAUAAUAUGAAGUAUUUCACGAGGAUCGCUGCAGACCAACAGAACUCCCUAUAUUUGGCUCUCUCUGUUAAAGUCCCAGUCCAAUUUUUCUCUCUUUUUUUUUUUUUACUGCUUAAAGUGUUAUCAGUGGUUUUUAAAUUGUGAUUAAUAAGUUUUUAGCGAAAACCACGUUACCUGUGUCAUUUGCAAGGGCUUUUCUUCUGCAGAGCUCCAGUAGCUCAUUAGCAAUUCACCUCUGAGUUGUGGGCGGAAACAGCACUGCUCUGCACACUCCUCGUCACGCUAGCUUGCAGCCUAACAUUGCUGGUGUAGUAGAAGUGACAGGUAACAUAUGAAAUCAGGUCCCAGACAUGGAAGUCUUUGGUGGCAUGAUAAAAGUUUAUAUCAUAAUUAGCUUUCUUACAAGCAUUUCAAUCCGCUAACGCACACGCUUGUUCCGCGAUCAUCCUCGCUACUUUUCUGAGUCUGGCCUACAAAGCGGAGCUCCGGGGGCGGAGCUUGGAGUUGUUACAUAGGAAAUCUCACUGAAUCUUAGCCUGCCGUUUGGGUCUGGCGGGAGAUACUCAGAAAUGCAAUUUUGCACUUAGUUUUCACAUGAUAUGUCCUGUAGCAUUAGAAAAACACCAGAUGAACAUGUAGACAACUAGAAAAACAUGAUUUUCGUCAGAGUGGUUCCUCAAGUCCAGUGGCAAUGUAGUUGGAUUUGCAGGGCUUGGGGACUGAGACCAGGUCUGUAGUAUGACCUGUGAUUAGAUUGAUUAAUGUUGAGAAGGUAGUUUGGGAUUUCAUGAAUCCUGAACCUCAACUUUGAUCUUACCUCAACUGUAACCAACAGCUGAACUCAAGUCUCAAAGCAAAACCGUAGAAAUUAAACUUGGUUUUUUUUUGUUGCACUAAGAUUUUAGACUGAAAGAGAGGAUUUUUUUCAAACUGAUGUGUCCUACAAACUGAGUGGACACAGAGGUUAUAAAGGAUUCUAAUUGCUUGAACGUCUUUAACACCAGAGACAGGAUUACAGUCUAAUGCUGCACACGCCAACAGAGACCUUGGCAUGAGUGUUGAGAGUGAUAUCUGGGUGGACACAUUAACAGCUGUUAUUCUCAUGCUGUGCUGUGUGUUGGUUUAUUUUAGGACAGUUAAUGAGUUUAUCAUUACGACAGCUUUAUAUGGAUCCAAUGUCUUCUUUGGUUAGAAAGCUUAUUUGGACAUAUUUGUUGUUAAAUAUCAGAGUGAUUAUAAAAUGUUUGACUUUUAAAAACUUUUUAAAGUUAAAUAAGGUGAGCAGAGCAUUUGCAUUCAAAGGUUAUGGGUUUAUUCUGAAAGUAUGACUGAGCCAGACGGUAUCUCCUGCUGAACUUUCUCUCUGGAUUUCAGACGACUUUGUGAGCUUAAUAACCCCACAACACUGAGCUCACUGAGGCGUGCAGGACUCACAAAGGACCGUCCCAAUACAGUCAGUGCAUGUCUUUGACUUCUUUGUCUGUUUUAAUUGACAAUGAUAAUUUCUCUCUCUGUGGAAAAGGACUAUUAUCUGAGUAAAUUAACCAAUCAAUUGGACAGAAUGGAAGAGCUGAAUGUCUUUUUGAACUGGAGGAAAAAUUGGACGGUGCUGUCAAAAAUGUUAGACAUAUUUCACCUUUGUGGUCUCAGGGCUGGAGCACCAUGUAAAAUCUGUUCAGGUGUUUAAUAAGAAGUGGUUUAUUGUGAAUUUCUUGUCUUAAAAAUGAACAUUUUAAACAUUAUCUCAGGCUGAUUUGAAAGAUUGCUGGAAAAGUUUAUUUCAACUUCUUUUUUGAGGCACUUUUUGUUCUUGUUGAUGAAGAGACUGAAAAUUCAAGGAGUAGAGAGUGAGGUAAAGCACGCACUAAAGGGUCAUUGCUAGGAUUUGAACCAGCAUACUGCAUAUGCUUAAAGAAGAUGCCACCCAGCUAAUACUUGUGAUACCACAACUUUUCCUUUACUUUCCCAAGUCUGGUAACUUGUUUGGUGUUUAGUAUUAAUCUAAAAUGUCUAAAUCUAUCCCUUUGAAAUUAGUCAUUCAUGGUCCUCAUAGGAUAAAUCCCUUUCUCUAAUUUUAAUGUCACUUUUCCUCAAUGUUAAAUGUUUAAAAUAACUUUAAUAUAUAGUGUCAUAAUUAUGGCAUAUUUGUUCCCUUUAGGAUAGACAGUAAACAAACUAUAGAUAUUCAUGAUCCCCAGAGGAAGAUUCACACUGACAUUACAGAUUCCUGGUGGACUAAAGUUUGUCAACAUGUUUGAAUUUUUUAAAAGAUCUGAACUUUAUCAGGAGCCUUACUAUGAAAUUGUGUGCAGAUAUUCAUGGUUGUCAGUGGAUAGAUCCCAUUGAUUAUAUGUUAUUCCUGACUUCUGGAUUUAGCUCCAUCACCGAGUUAGUUUUCACUUUUUUGUUGUUUUGUAAUUUGAAAGUUCAUGCUAAAUUCGAAUGGUUAGAAAGUGUAAUUGUUAAAUUCACUAGUACUUCAAAAGAGGCAGACGCUCUUAUGUUGUGAGCAUAGACUGUUUACAGAACUGACAGCGUCUGCCUAUUCGCUGGGUGAGGCCACCACGAGAAUAGCACCCUCUGGUGACGGGCUGCAGUAUAGGUCAUUAAUCCUGCCUCCUCCAGCAAUCCC